ensembl:snoRNA
AACACUGGGUGGUGUCUGCAACCAGGAGCACAUCCUGCUGGGUGUUCAAGGACAGUGCCAGAAAAAGUCAACGUCUGCAACCGCUGCUUUUCUUGGCAUCUUGCUGUUCAACCUGGUUUACAUAACAGGA